AAGCUUUAUAUUCAUGAAAUGAUAAUAGAAUGCAAUUCUGUAGGAGUAGUAAAACUACUAAGGCUUA
rnacentral:tRNA from 1 species